rnacentral:rRNA from 1 species
GACAGCAGCCGCCGCGGGAAUACGUAGGGUGCGAGCGUUAAUCGGAAUUACUGGGCGUAAAGCGUGCGCAGGCGGCUUUGUAAGACAGGCGUGAAAUCCCCGGGCUCAACCUGGGAAUGGCGCUUGUGACUGCAAAGCUAGAGUGCGGCAGAGGGGGAUGGAAUUCCGCGUGUAGCAGUGAAAUGCGUAGAUAUGCGGAGGAACACCGAUGGCGAAGGCAAUCCCCCGGGCCUGCACUGACGCUCAUGCACGAAAGCGUGGGGAGCAAACAGGAUUAGAUACCCCGGUAGUCCCUGUCUCUUAUAC